AGCAGCCGCGGUAAUUCCAGCUCCAAUAGCGUAUAUUAAAGUUGCUGCAGUUAAAAAGCUCGUAGUUGAAUUUCGGGAUCAAUUUACUGGUCGUGCCUAUGGUACGUACUGGUUUUAUUGGUUCCUCCCUUCUGAGGAGCCACGAUGUCAUUAAUUUGGUGUCGUGGGGAAUCAGGACUGUUACUUUGAAAAAAUUAGAGUGUUUAAAGCAGGCUU
rnacentral:rRNA from 1 species